CGGGAAAGGGCCGGGAAAUUUCCACUUCUGAAUAAAAUGACUGCUGAAGUGAUGACCCGCAAGAAUUGGUCAAAUUUGGAGUAGACUUCACCCUGCGCUUGGUGAAACUUCUACGUCAAGGAUGCAAGAGGCGCCGAAGUAACGCAGCUCCCACCUGUCGCUCUCCGCUGGGCGCCGAGACUAUGGCCGGAGAAUAGCUGCACCGGGAUUGGAGAAAGGAAGCCAUCAGUCUUAGGAAGGCUCCACCUUCCUGCCAUUGCCUGGUUGGAGGAGCGUAGCGUCAGUCACUAGAGCAGUCACCACCUCUGGGACAGGUGAAGAUGUGUAACCUAUUUGCCGGGGGCUAUUUGGGAGGGAAUAGAGGACGGGGAGCGAUGAGGGGACAGUCGAGGGGCAAGGCCGAUCUCGCUUCGCGCCUCCCGCCUUUCUGAGUUGAGCCUAGCGCGCGGGUCUGAGGGACAUCCGGGGAGCUGCUUGGGAUGGCCGCCUUGGGGAGACUCGACCCGCCCGCCAGGACCCGGCCGCGCGCCGCAGUUCGGGCGCCUUCGGGCAGGAUCGCCCAGCGGGGCCGCGUUCUCCUGCUUGCGGACGGCUGCGGGCCUGAGGGCUGGACAGCGCCAUGCCUCAGUACCGGGAACUGUCCCACGUAGGAAGGUGGGAAUGCCGCGAACGGCGUGCGGAAUCCGACCUCAAGGUGGAACGGGGUGGUGAAGAGUGCAUGCUCCGAGGCAGUUUCGAGUUCUGGUGCUGCCACUUACUUGCUGCCUGACUUCGGCGCGUUUGCUGUUUCAUUUUUGUGACUUUCAACUCGCUCCUCUGUGAAAUGGGAGUAAUAUUAGUACCUUCCUCAUUGGGUUGUUGUUAUGAAUAAAUUAGAUGAUAAUAUAGCGCUUAGCAAAGUCCCAAACUUACAGGAAAGACUCAUUUUUGCUAGUUAUUGUCUCCUCUUCCUUCAGGAACUCUCUGCUCGCCCCUGGGUCCUGCCAGCCCAACUAAUUCUAGUUCUAAUCAGAUCUGUGUGGUGCAAAACAAGGCUAGCUGUGGUGGUCUUCCCUCCUCUAAGGAGAUCUCUUCCUCCCUAUAUGCAUCUCUCUAUCUCUGUCUUUAUCUUGUCAGUAAAGAGGGGGGUUAAAAAUAUUCAGAUUCUAUAGCGGGCGCCGUGGCUCACGCCUGUAAUCCCAACACUAUGGGAUGUUGAGGCGGGCGGAUCAUUUGAACCCAGUAGUUCGAGCCCAGCCUAGGCAACAUGGUGAAAUCCCGUCUUUACCAAAAAUACAAAAAUUGGGCUCGGCGCGGUGACUCACGCCUGUUAAUCCCAGCACUUUGGGAGGCCUAGGUGGGCGGAUCAUUUGAGGUUAGGAGUUCUAGACCAGCCUGGCCAACAUGGCGAAACCCCGUCUAUACUAAAAAUACAAAAAUUAGCCAGAUGUGAUGGUGCGUGCCUGUAAUCCCAGCUACUCGGGAGGCUGAGGCAGGAGAAUCACUUGAACCCAGGAGGCGAAGUUUGCAGUGAGCCAAGAUCGUGCCACUGCACUCCAGGUUAGGCGACAGAGCAACACAUCGUCUCAAAAAAAAAAAAAAAAUUAGCCGAGCAUGGUGGUGCAUGCCUGUAAUUCCAGCUACUCAGGAGGCUGAGGUGGGAGGGAUCCCCUGAGCCUGGGAGAUGGAGGUUGCAGUGAGCCGAGAUCGUGCCACUGAACUCCAGCCUGAGCAACAGAGCGGUGCCCUGUCUAAAAAAAUUAAAAAAAUAAAAAAAAAACGGUUUCUAUCUAAUCCUUUAAUCAGACAUGACCAAAAAAGGAGUCUGGUGGUUUGUAUGGAAAAUAUCCUUUGACCCAGAGAAUGUCCAUAUGAUAACAGAAUUUGGCUGAAAAAAAAAAAAAUGGCCGGGCGCAGUGGCUCACACCUGUAAUCCCAGCACCUUGGGAGGCAGAGGUGAGCGGAUCACGAGGUCAGGAGAUGGAGACCAUCCUGGCCAACAUGGUGAAACCCCGUCUCUACUAAAAAUACAAAAAUUAGCCAAGUGUGGCGGCGCGUGCCUGUAAUCCCAGCUACUCGGGUGGCUGAGGCAAGAGAAUCGCUUGAACCCAGGAGGCGGAGGUUGCAGUGAGCCGAGAUCGCACCACUGCACUGCAGCCUGGCGACAGAGCAAGACUCAGUCUCAAAAAAAAAAAAAAAAAGUCAUUUUCUCCUCUCUUACAACUUUAACAAAGGCCUUUAUAUAUCUCAA
rnacentral:lncRNA from 1 species